CUCGUGAUGUAUUAGCUAUUCCGAUAUCGACAGUUGCUUCAGAAUCCGCUUUCAGUACUAGUGGUCGGGUACUUGAUUGUUUUAGGAGUUUAUUGACUCCUAAUGUGGUAGAAAGUCUUAUUUGUACUCAAGAUUGGCUUCGGUUAAAUUUGCAAUCACUCAACGUUGAAGAAAUUUUAGAGGAUGUGGAAAAACUUGAAAAUGAUUUCUCAAAAAUCAUAAUGGACUCGUCUUCUUCGACAACACCGGUGACAUAAGGAUCAAUGGUUUAUUUGGAAAGGAUUGCUAAGGACACAUAGCUAUGUUGGGGUUGACCUUGCU